GAUGAAGAACGUAGCGAAAUGCGAUAAGUAAUGUGAAUUGCAGAAUUCAGUGAAUCAUCGAGUCUUUGAACGCACAUUGCGCCCCCUGGUAUUCCGGGGGGCAUGCCUGUCCGAGCGUCAUUGCUGCCCUCAAGCACGGCUUGUGUGUUGGGCCCCGCCCCCCGGCUCCCGGGGGGCGGGCCCGAAAGGCAGCGGCGGCACCGCGUCCGGUCCUCGAGCGUAUGGGGCUUCGUCACCCGCUCCGUAGGCCCGGCCGGCGCCCGCCGGCGACCCCCCUCAAUCUUUUCGGGUUGACCUCGGAUCAGGUAGGGAUACCCGCUGAACUUAAGCAUAUCAAUAAGCGGAGGA
rnacentral:misc_RNA from 1 species